rnacentral:lncRNA from 1 species
CCAAUCAGAGUAAGAAUGUAAGAAGAAUAAUUUUCUGCUUAUGGUGAGAAAAGAAAACCAGUAAUGAGUUUGAGAAUUUGCUUGCCCUUUAUUAAUGAAUAGCAGUAAUAUAUAUACUGCAGAAAAAUAACAACUUCCCUACAAAUAAGGAUGAAAGCAAAACAAACAAGUAGUGCUAAAUCAACAAAAUCAAAUAACAGAAUCAAAGUAGAAUCAAAUAACAGCUAUUUUAGGUAAGCAAGCUGCAGCAGUAACUCAGUCAAGAUAUUUGGAAUUGAUCUUCGGCAACCGACUGGAUCUUCUUGGUCUAUCAUUACCUCCCCCUCGGACAGCAACCUUGUCCUCAAGGUUAAUGUUAGGAAAAUGUACUGUGAAGGACUGAGAAUCUUCCCAUGUAGCAUCUUCCUCUUGAAGCUUUUUCCAUUUGACUAGAAGUUGUUCAACAAUUUUGGAUCCUUUUUUAACCCAACGGGUAUCAAGAACAGAUUCAGGUUCCAAGAGCAAUUCACCAUCAUCAGUCACAGGUGGCAGUUCAUUGCUGAAAAGAGCAGCUUCUCCAAUCUUCUUUUUUAAGAGAGAUACGUGAAAAACUGGAUGAAUGCGAGAACCAGGGGGAAGCUGAAGCUUGUAAGCGACUGGUCCUAUCUUCUCUUCAAUCUGAUAUGGCCCAUAAAAUUUGCAAGCAAGCUUCGGAUAAGUUCGAACAGACACAGAAUGUUGGCGAUAGGGAUGAAGCUUCAAAAAUACCCAAUCACCAACUUCAUACUGUAUAUCUCGUCUUUUUGAAUCAGCAUAUUGUUUCAUUCGAUUUGUAGCAGCCGCAAGGUUGGAUUUAAGUUGACUCAACAAGGCAUCUCUAGAAAGGAGAUUUUGAUCAACUUCAUGAACUGAACUGCUUCCUUCAUGAUAGAGGGGAAUUGUUGGGGGCAAUCUUCCAUACAAGGCUUGGAAGGGAGUCAUUCCCGUUGAUAUGUGGAAAGUUGUGUUGUACCAGAAUUCUGCCCAAGGCAACAGAGAGAACCAUUUGCGAGGUUGUUGGUACACAAAACUCCGGAGGUACUGUUCAAUGCAAUGGUUGACUACCUCAGAUUGACCAUCAGUCUGAGGGUGGUAAGCCGAACUCAUUUUAAGCUGGGUUCCUGACAUCUUAAAAAAUUCACGCCAAAAGUGACUUACAAAGAUGGGAUCACGGUCACUGAUGAUUGUUCGUGGCAUGCCAUGCAAUUUCACAAUUCCGUCAACAAAUUUUUCAGCUACCACCUUGGCCGAAUAUGGAUGUGAAAGUGCUAUAAAAUGAGCAGAUUUGCUCAAUCUAUCAACCACAACAAGGAUAGAAUUCUUACCAUUCGAGGUGGGCAAUCCAUCGAUGAAAUCCAUUGUGAUAUCAUCCCAAAUUUGGCAAGGAAUCGGAAGUGGUUGUAGUAACCCAGCAGGUGACAAAGUUUCCAUCUUAACUCGUUGACAAACUUCACAAGCCGCCACAUAAUUCUUGAUAGUUGUAUACAUUGAGGGCCAAUAAAAUUGCUGAGCAAUCCGCUUGUAGGUCCUUAGAACUCCGGAAUGUCCCCCAAGACGAGAAUCAUGAAACUCAUGUAGAAGUUGUGGAAUAAGUGGGGAGUUUGGAGGCACAACAAUGCGAUUCUUAUAACUCACCAGCCCAUUUUGCCACCGAUACGGAUUGCCUGGAGUUGCUGUAGCUUCUUUGCCAAUUUUAAUCAUGUAAGGAUGAGCUUCAGCUUCUUUUUUUAUUGUAUUCCAUAAUGGAGACUGAGAUACGAACAAAGCGUCCAAACUAGAACUGCCCGAAACCCGUGAUAAUGCAUCUGCUGCAUUAUUCUCCUUUCCUAGUUUGUAGAGGAUCUCGUAGUCAUAACCAAGAAGCUUGGAAAUCCAUUUCUGUUGUUCAGGUGUCACCACCCGUUGUUCCAGCAAAUGUUUGAGACUGCGUUGAUCUGUGUGGAUGAUGAAUUUCCGGCCGAGCAAAUAUGGUCUCCAAGUCUGAAUGGCAUGUAUGAUAGCUAACAUCUCUUUAGCAUAAAUAGACCAAGAGCGUUUGCUAUUGCCCAAAGCCCUGCUCAUAAAAGCAAUUGGUCUGCCUUGCUGGGAUAACACCGCACCAAUGCCGUCGCCUGAAGCGUCUGAUUCAAUAAUAAAUAUUUCAUCAAAAUUUGGCAUGGCAAGAAUAGGUGUGGCUGUCAUUGCAGAUUUGAGCUGCUGGAAAGCUGAAUCUGCUGCAUCAGUCCACUGGAAUUGCCCUUUUUUCAAAAGAUUGGUGAGUGGCUGUGCUAUAAGGCCAUAAUUGCGGACAAACUUCCGAUAGUAACCUGUAAGACCUAAAAAUCCACGUAACUCAGAAACAUUAGUGGGUUUAGGCCAAUUUACCAUAGCUGAAAUUUUAUUUUGAUCCACCUUCACCCCUUGAGGAGUGACAAUAUGUUCCAGAUACUCUAUCUCCUGUAACCCAAAAGCACAUUUAGAGAGUUUGACUGUAAAUUGGUGUUGUCUCAGGGUUUGAAGCACUGUAUGGACAUGUUCAAGGUGAGUGGUCCAACCUGGGCUGUAGAUGAGAAUAUCAUCGAAAAAGACCAAAACAAAUUUGCGGAGGUAGGGACGAAAGAUAGAUUUCAUAAUUGCUUGAAAGGUUGAUGGUGCAUUACAUAAGCCAAAGGGCAUGACAAGAUAUUCGUAAUGACCGUUAUGAGUACGGAAAGCAGUUUUAGGAAUAUCUGCAGAAUGAACCCGUACCUGGUGAAAUCCCGCUCGAAGGUCUAGUUUGGUAAAAUAUUUUGGUCCGUGGAGUUCAUCGAGCAUAUCAUCGACAGUGGGGAUUGGAAAUCUGUCUUUGAUGGUAACAGAGUUGAGUGCUCGGUAAUCAGUGCAAAACCGCCAAGACCCAUCUUUCUUUUUCACUAACAGAACAGGAGAAGAGAAUGGGCUUGUACUUGACCUUAUCAACCCGGAGUUCAACAUGUCUUGUACCUGUUUCUCAAUCUCAGCUUUCUGGAAAUAGGCGUAUCGGUAGGGCCUGAUAUUGACAGGUUCAGUGCCUUCUUUCAAAUUGAUGUGGUGCUCUAUUUCUCUUGGUGGUGGUAACUGAGUUGGUUCCUUGAACAGGUCCUGAUACUGGUCCAGUAUUGAUUGUAAGUCAGGGUGAAUGAAUUCUGAACCCUUACUGGAAUCAAUACAAAUAGCAAAUAUUGAACUGCCAUGUCGUGCUUCUUUAGAGAUGGCUUGUAGAGAUGUUGAUUGAAUAACUGGUGUCCGUAGGCCCUGCAAUUUGUGAGUGUUGUUGUCCCAUUGGAACUCCAUAGUUAAGUUCUUCCAAUUACAUGCCACUGUUCCCAACCUUUCCAGCCAUUGAAUCCCUAGAACCACAUCCAAACCCGUUAUAGGCAAAGCAAACAAGGUGACUACAAAAGGUAUACCUUGGAGGUGCAGCUGAACAUCAUUGAAUUUGCCUUGGCAUGCCAGUAAUCCUCCAUUCGCAACUUUAACGUCGCAGGGUUUGAACGGCUGUACUGGCAAUUGUAACAUGUCUGCUACCUUUGUAUUGAUGAAGUUAUGUGUAGAUCCACUGUCAAUCAGUACAAUCAGGGUGUAGGAACCAAUUUUUGCUGCCACCCGCAUUGUUUUGUGAGUUGCCCAUCCAGAGAGUGCAUGUAGGGAUAUUUCCGGUUGUUCUUCCAUGGUUGCCUCGUCUUCAUCACCCCCAUCUAGAAGGAGAAGUUGGGGUCCCUUGCAACGAUGUCCAGGAGUGAAUUUCUCUUCACAAUUAAAGCAGAGACCUUGGGCACGUUUCUUCUGCAUCUCAUCCCAAGUCAAUCGGCGUAUGGGUGUUUCUGUUUUUUUAACUGGGGAGGAGGUCGGUGAUAUAAAAUUAGGACGGUGAAUUUUUCUUUGCCGAUUCAGCUGUUCAUCUCUCAUCCUGGCUAAACUGAUUGCCUCUUUUAAAGUUUUUGGCUUAAACAUACGGAUUCCAUCGGCGAUUUCUGUUUUUAAUCCGCCCAUAAAAGUACCCACUAACACCUUUUGCGUCCACCCUUUAACCUUGUUUCCCAAUCUUUCGAACUCCUUCUGAUAAUCUCGUAAGGAGCCUAGUUGGCGAAUCUUUGACAGGGAUUCGUCAAAGUCUUCGCAGUCCGUCGGACCAAACCUGGCCCACAGUUCAUCGACAAAAAUCUCCCAAGUAACCUCCUUGUUAUCUUCUACUUUGUAAGUUCUGUGUAACCAUUGCCACCAUUCAUUAGCUUCCCCUUGCAUGUGAUAGGAGGCUAAUGAAACCUUCUCAUUGUCUAGCGUGGCUUGAAAAUCAAAAAAUUGAUUAGCUUUUGUUAGCCAUUCGGUUGGAUCAGUACCGGAGUACCUCGGGAAUUCAAGCUUGGCUAAUUUUGACGAGAAUAUUGGCUUUCCUCCUGUGGCCGAUUCUGCACGGUUGCCGCCUUGUUGAAUUGAUUUUUCCCGAGAGUUGCUGCUUCCACCUUCUCGGCUUGACAGGACUGUUUCAGAAAGUUUGGUCAUCAUACCUUCCAGGUGUUGCAAUUUGCUAGUAACCCCAGUUUCCAUUCGACCAACAACAUCUUGAAGCUGCCCUAGUCCUGUUUCAAGGUUCUCGAUUCGUUCCUUGUUAGUCGUCAUAAGGAAUAAGAAAGAAUAGUAAGAAGAAAGAAGAGAGGGAAAAAAAAAACCAGGCUCUGAUACCAAUGUUAGAUGGUCCCAAUCAGAGUAAGAAUGUAAGAAGAAUAAUUUUCUGCUUAUGGUGAGAAAAGAAAACCAGUAAUGAGUUUGAGCUUGCCCUUUAUUAAUGAGUAGCAGUAAUAUAUAUACUGCAGAAAAAUAACAACUUCCCUAUAAAUAAGGAUGAAAGCAAAACAAACAAGUAGUGCUAAAUCAACAAAAUCAAAUAACAGAAUCAAAGUAGAAUCAAAUAACAGCUAUUUUAGGCAAGCAAGCUGCAGCAGUAACUCAGUCAAGAUAUUUGGAAUUGAUCUUCGACAACCGACUGGAUCUUCUUGGUCUAUCAU